rnacentral:rRNA from 1 species
AGGAGAGUUUGAUCCUGGCUCAGGAUGAACGCUGGCGGCGUGCUUAAUACAUGCAAGUCGAACGGACAAGGCUGGAAAGCUUGCUUUCUGGCUGAGUCAGUGGCGAACGGGUGAGUAAUACGUAGGCAACCUGCCCCAAAGCGGGGGAUAGCAGUUGGAAACGACUAUUAAUACCGCAUAGGUAAUCGGAGGGCAUCCUCUGGUUAUUAAAGGUGCGUUUGCACCGCUGUGGGAUGGGCUUACGCUGUAUUAGCUUGUUGGUGAGGUAACGGCCCACCAAGGCGAUGAUACAUAGCCGGUCUGAGAGGAUGAACGGCCACAUUGGGACUGAGACACGGCCCAGACUCCUACGGGAGGCAGCAGUAAGGAAUUUUCGGCAAUGGGCGAAAGCCUGACCGAGCAACGCCGCGUGAGUGAUGAAGGCCUUCGGGUCGUAAAGCUCUGUGGUAAAGGACGAACACCAUGAAUAGGAAAUGAUCCAUGGCUGACGGUACUUUACUAGAAAGUCACGGCUUACUACGUGCCAGCAGCCGCGGUAAUACGUAGGUGGCAAGCGUUAUCCGGAUUUAUUGGGCGUAAAGGGUGCGCAGGCGGCUUGUUUAGUCUGAGGUGAAAGCGUUGAGCUUAACUCAAUUAAGCCUCAGAUACUGGCAAGCUAGAGUGCAGAAGAGGGUUAUGGAAUUCCAUGUGUAGCGGUAAAAUGCGUAGAUAUAUGGAGGAACACCGGCGGCGAAGGCGGUAACCUGGUCUGUAACUGACGCUCAGGCACGAAAGCGUGGGGAGCAAAUAGGAUUAGAUACCCUGGUAGUCCCCU